AUUGGCCUGCCAACACAAAACACUGUCUUCCCAUGAGAAGACAUGACAGAAGAAGAUGAGGAAGUCCUUUCCUGUUCCACCUCCCAGCUGGAUUUGUGUAUCCAGAUGCGUGUCUGUAGCUCGUGGAGCAAAGGUCAACACCGUGGUACAGGAAGUGAUGCAGAGCAGCAGACGAACAUUAACCCCCAGAGCAAGUGAGACAGCGGCCAAUUUCCAUCAGACUGCAAGAGAAAGGUUUCCAUCAGACUAACCCAGAAGGAGAGGAACAGAAGGACAGUGUUUCCCCUACAUGCACCGAGCAGCGGCAGUACACCACUGCUGAAGUAUAACCGUCGCUGCUGAUUUUAUUUUUUUUAACGAGAGGAGAGGAGAGCUUCAGCUUAUCUCUUUAAAAUAUGAAUGUUAUAUUAUUUUGCGCUACCGACACUUCAUAUCCAGGUAAAUUCACACACCUGUGAGUAAAGCAUAGCUAUAAAGGGAGAGGAACUUCCGUAAAGUUCGAAAAAUAAAUUGGCAGAUUCGGAGUUGGCGGUUAAUAGAUCAGUGAAACAUCGUUGCGACACAAUUGACACCUCUAGCUAAAUAUAGUAACCUAGAGAAACAGCUACAACAUUGUUUUCAUCCAAACGAGACGUCUUUAGCGAACAGUGAAAUGCAUUGGCUUCUAUGAGCUGUCGGCGUUCAGCCGCGAGUUUAGGGACCGUCUGCAAAGUGCAAAACUGAAAACUACCACAAUGGUACAAUUUCAAUAGCGUCACCUCUUUAUGGUCCUACUAUUCCUCCUAUUUUGACAAAUAUAUCUCUUCUUAUUUUUGAAGAUUUUUUAUUCAGCAACAAUUUCAGUAGUGUCGCCAUUAUUGACUCUAGAGCCCCAAAACUUGGUCAAUAGAGGCAUGGCCUCUUUAUGGUCCUACUGCAACCUUUGUGAUGGGGAGAGGGGAGGGAGUGGAAAGAUGCAUUGGUUGGAGACACAGACCUUUUCGAUUGGUGUAUUUGUGUUAUGUGAUGUUUGUUAAAUAAAUGUACAUAAUUGUUUUAAAGAUUA